rnacentral:snoRNA from 1 species
UCGUCAGGUAGGAUAAUCCUUACCUGUUCCUCCUUCGGGAGGGCAGAUCGGAACAUGAUGAUUGGAGCUCGCAUGAUUCGUGAUUAGCGUCUCUGCGUAGCUGGGACUUGCAACACCCCGGCUGCUCCUGUCUGAU